rnacentral:rRNA from 1 species
AUUGAACGCUGGCGGCAUGCCUUACACAUGCAAGUCGAACGGCAGCGCGGGGGCAACCCUGGCGGCGAGUGGCGAACGGGUGAGUAAUAUAUCGGAACGUACCCAAGAGUGGGGGAUAACGUAGCGAAAGUUACGCUAAUACCGCAUACGAUCUAAGGAUGAAAGUGGGGGAUCUUCGGACCUCAUGCUCAUGGAGUGGCCGAUAUCUGAUUAGCUAGUUGGUGAGGUAAAGGCUCACCAAGGCGACGAUCAGUAGCUGGUUUGAGAGAACGACCAGCCACACUGGAACUGAGACACGGUCCAGACUCCUACGGGAGGCAGCAGUGGGGAAUUUUGGACAAUGGGCGCAAGCCUGAUCCAGCCAUGCCGCGUGUGGGAAGAAGGGCCCUUCGGGUUGGUUAAACCACUUUUGUCAGGGAAGAAACGGCGUCUUACUAAUAUUA